rnacentral:rRNA from 1 species
GAUUUGUCUGGUUUAUUCCGAUAACGAGCGAGACUCCAGCCUACUAACUAGUGCAAGCAUUGCUUCUGUGCUCUGCACUUCUUAGAGGGAUUGGCUGCUUCCAGCGGCACGAAACGGAGCAAUAACAGGUCUGUGAUGCCCUUAGAUGUCCGGGGCUGCACGCGCGCUACACUGGCAAAGGCAACGUGCUUGUCCUACUCCGAAAGGAGCAGGUAAACCCUUGAAAAUUUGCCGUGAUUGGGAUCGGAAAUUGCAAUUAUUUUCCGUGAACGAGGAAUUCCAAGUAAGUGCGAGUCAUCAGCUCGCGUUGAUUACGUCCCUGCCCUUUGUA